GUUUCUUGUUUUAUGGUUUUCGCUCUAUUUUGUUUUUCGUUAUUGUUUUCUUUUUUUCCUCAGUGAACAGAAAACCAGCAUAAAUUUCAAAAAGGAAAAAGAAGGGAGAAAAGAUGCAACUUUAAAAGAAGGCAAC
rnacentral:ribozyme from 1 species